rnacentral:lncRNA from 1 species
GCAAAUUUUCAUCAUAAAUUGGCGCCAAAAAUACUUCUAUCAUCUCAAUUUUGUGAGGAAAAAAAUAUAAAUUGUGAAGGAUAUUUCUCUCGCUAAUAGCUAUAUUGUCACUAUAUUUUUUUUCUUCACUGUUCCUUCGCUAGAAAACUCUUCAUGUGAAGGAAUAAAUUCCUUCACAAAAUUUCCUUCGCUACAUCCCUAAUUUCUUGUAGUGAUAGACAUCUUGGACAAAAAGAAAAAAAAAUUAUUUUUCGGUGAAUAGUGCCGUAUUCGUGAAUAGUGUCGUAUACGUGAAUAGUAACUCCGACACAAAAAGUUCUAAAUUUGAUAAAAAGUUCAGACCAAUAUUUCGGCAUAAUGAUAUUGAAAGAAAUAAUAUCAUUUACGAAGAAAAUAACAUCCCUUACCUCAAAAUAACAAUAUUUUUGAUCGGAAUAUCGGAUGAAAAGUUGAAGGAAACUUGCACUGAAU